AAUUACAAGAAUGGAAAGUUUAAUCAAAAGAAUAAAAUUUUUCCAAACAUGAUGAUCUCUGCACACAUGUGAAAUAAAAGGAAGCAGCAAUUGUGGAUAACAAAACAUGAACAACAGCGACCUUAAAUCAUGACAAUGAAAUUGAAACAAAAAAUAAAGAAAAUCAAUUCAAAAUCGUUAAAAAUAGAAUAACAAAACUAGCCAGGAUAACUAAACCCCUAAAACCCUAAGCCCUAAGCCCUAAGCCCUAAACCAUGGCAUUAAUCAGAAAAUGUAAUUUACAUUAACCGGGAUGUGUAAAAAAAGGGAAAAAGAUUUGUUUAUAUACUAUUACAUAAGAAGGUAAUAUUUUGUGCCGUAUUCAUUUUUGCUUAUAUUACCAACUACACAUUUUUAUUUUUGCAAAACCAAAUAUUAAAUAAAAAAAUAAAAAUAAUAAUUUCUGGUAAACCGACAUGGUGGGACCAGCAUAUGAUGGGUGAUAUACUGUACACUUUUUUUGUAAUAUAUAUGGGGUAAAAGGGUAAUAACGGAGGAUUACGCAUGGUCGAAAACCCAAACUUUCCUUUUUUGGUAAAAAACGAAACACACCAAAAACAGACUUUACCAAAUAAGGAAAGAAGGCCGAAAUCCUGCAGCCCAUACCCUGCAGCCCGAAAUCCUAAAGCCCCUAAAGGUCCUAAAAGCCCGAAGCCUGAAAGGUCUUUAAAACGCCCCAAGGCCCCAAGCCCCAAGGCCUUACACCAAAUAAAACUAAUAAAAGUAAGCCCCUGAAGGCCCUAAAGUCCGCAAAGCCUGAAAGGCCUUUAAAAGGCCCUAAGCAUGAGCUAGGACUGUGUAAAGUCCACAUAAUUGGGUGUGACUUGGGCUUAGUCUUGGGCUUCUUCCUCCCCAUAUGUAACUUACGUAAAGCCUAUAUGCAUCAAUUUAGAUUUGGGUUAAAUAUGGAUUGGGCUUGUUUGGAGCUUGGUAAGGCCUAUGACUGAUAUCUGAUUUUGAGUCGGCCUCGUAUUUAAAUUUUCAUCUUGUUUGGGCCCAUAUGAAGGUUUCAUAAACAAAGUAUUGAGAAAAGAGAGUACAAAAUAGACAAUCAUACAGAGAAACAUUUAAAAAAUUAAAACAUUGAAAUACAAAAAUGUUAUCAUUGGUUUAGCAUUUAAACACAAGAACAUAUAAGAGAGUACAAAACUAGCCAAGUUAAAGAGUUAAAGAAAAUAACUAAAUAACAAAAGAAAACAAAAUUGAGUUAAAAACACAAAGAAAAUUUUAUCUUAUAAAGGAAGAUACCUUGAAUAUUUAGUUUUGUUCUACAAAAUGUUACCCAAAAAAAAAUUACAAGAAUGGAAAGUUUAAUCAAAAGAAUAAAAUUUUUUCAAACAUGAUGAUCUCUGCACACAUGUGAAUUAAAAGAAAGCAGCAAUUGUGGAUAACAAAAUAUGAAAAACAGCGACCUUAAAUCAUGACGAUGAAAUUGAAACAAAAAAUAAAGAAAAUCAAUUCAAAAUCGUUAAAAAUAGAAUAACAAAACUAGCCAUGAUAACUAAACCCCUAAAACCCUAUACACAUGUUGAUAAAAAGAAAAGGAAGAUAAAAUUUUUUAAAAAAACAGCGGGUGUUCUCCAUAUAUUUUAUUUUUUAUUACGACAAAUAAAAAGGAAUAAUUUUGUGUGAUUU
rnacentral:lncRNA from 1 species